CAGCCGCCGCGGUAAUACGUAGGGUGCGAGCGUUAAUCGGAAUUACUGGGCGUAAAGCGUGCGCAGGCGGUUGUGUAAGACAGGUGUGAAAUCCCCGGGCUUAAUCUGGGAACUGCGCUUGUGACUGCACAGCUAGAGUAUGGCAGAGGGGGGUGGAAUUCCACGUGUAGCAGUGAAAUGCGUAGAGAUGUGGAAGAAUACCGAUGGCGAAGGCAGCCUCCUGGGAUAACACUGACGUUGAGGCUCGAAAGCGUGGGGAGCAAACAGGAUUAGAUACCCGAGUAGUCCCUGUCUCUUAUAC
rnacentral:rRNA from 1 species